AAGUCGUAACAAGGUUUCCGUAGGUGAACCUGCGGAAGGAUCAUUAGCGAGUAUGGCCCUCACGGGUCUAAUCCACCAUAAACACCUUUGUGAACCAGUCAGGGGGACUCGGCCGUGAAAGCCCAGGCGAUUAGCGGAAGGGACCUCCUUUGCAAACCCGUUUAGAAGUCUUGAAAGUACUUUUGUAUAAUCUAGUAAAACUUAUAGCAACGGAUCUCUUGGCUCUCGU
rnacentral:misc_RNA from 1 species